rnacentral:misc_RNA from 1 species
CAUUCUCUUGCUUUCUCUAUAAUAUCAAAUUUCAUUGGUUUCUAUUUGUUUGAUGGGAUUUUCUUUCCGGGAAAAUACAUGGGAAAGUUGUCUUUCAAGGAUUCUCUCAAGGCCCUCGAAGCUGAUAUCCAGCACGCCAAUACUCUUGCUCUAGAUUAUCCAAGGGAGAUUGAUGGUGCUCGUCUUCAGAUGAGAUUAUCCCACAGUCCAGCAGCG